rnacentral:rRNA from 1 species
GAUGAACGCUGGCGGCGUGCCUAAUACAUGCAAGUCGAGCGAACGGACGAGAAGCUUGCUUCUCUGAUGUUAGCGGCGGACGGGUGAGUAACACGUGGAUAACCUACCUAUAAGACUGGGAUAACUUCGGGAAACCGGAGCUAAUACCGGAUAAUAUUUUGAACCGCAUGGUUCAAAAGUGAAAGACGGUCUUGCUGUCACUUAUAGAUGGAUCCGCGCUGCAUUAGCUAGUUGGUAAGGUAACGGCUUACCAAGGCAACGAUGCAUAGCCGACCUGAGAGGGUGAUCGGCCACACUGGAACUGAGACACGGCCCAGACGCCUACGGGAGGCAGCAGUAGGGAAUCUUCCGCAAUGGGCGAAAGCCUGACGGAGCAACGCCGCGUGAGUGAUGAAGGUCUUCGGAUCGUAAAACGCUGUUAUUAGGGAAGAACAUAUGUGUAAGUAACUGUGCACAUCUUGACGGUACCUAAUCAGAAAGCCACGGCUAACUACGU